CGAGAGAGAAGAUUCUCAGGCAGGCAAGGAGGGAGGACGACUUUUACCGCGGCGUGCGGCGAGGUAGAGGAUCAGAGUAGAAGAAACAGGGAGGAAAAAAAGUAAACGGAGUGAGAAAGAGGAGACAGGCAAACUAUUUACAGAUCACAACUCCAUACAGAGUCACCCUCAAGACCCAACACGCACAAACUCAAGCACU
rnacentral:lncRNA from 1 species